rnacentral:lncRNA from 1 species
GAUGCCAACCCUGUGGUAAUUGAGCCAUCAUCUGUUUUGAAUGGAGGAAAAUACUCAUUUGGAACUGCAGCCCAUCCUAUGGAGCAGGUCGAAGAUAGAAUUGGAAGCAGCCUCAGUUACGUGAAUACUACAGAAGAGAAAUUUUCAGACAACAUUUCUACUGCAUCUGAAGCCUCAGAAACUGCUGGCAGCGGCUACAUCAUUAACACUAGAAGGAGGACGAUUAAAACGAACUCCACAGCUGAUUCAUGGAAGAGACUAUGAAAUGGUCCCAGAACCUGUGUGGAGAGCACUUUAUCACUGGUAUGGAGCAAACCUGGCCUUACCUAGACCAGUUAUCAAGAACAGCAAGACAGACAUCCCAGAGCUGGAAUUAUUUCCCCGCUAUCUUCUCUUCCUGAGACAGCAGCCUGCCACUCGGACACAGCAGUCUAACAUCUGGGUGAAUAUGGGUAUGAUGAGCCUGAGAAUGUUUCCUCAGCAUUU